rnacentral:piRNA from 1 species
UUGACGUGAUCGAUACUAAAA